rnacentral:rRNA from 1 species
AGAGUUUGAUCCUGGCUCAGAACGAACGCUGGCGGCAGGCCUAACACAUGCAAGUCGAGCGGACCGUAAGGUCAGCGGCGGACGGGUUAGUAACGCGUGGGAACGUGCCCAAAGGUACGGAAUAGCCUCGGGAAACUGAGAGUAAUACCGUAUGUGCCCGAGAGGGGAAAGAUUUAUCGCCUUUGGAUCGGCCCGCGUUGGAUUAGGUAGUUGGUGGGGUAAUGGCCUACCAAGCCUACGAUCCAUAGCUGGUUUGAGAGGAUGAUCAGCAACACUGGGACUGAGACACGGCCCAGACUCCUACGGGAGGCAGCAGUGGGGAAUCUUAGACAAUGGGGGAAACCCUGAUCUAGCCAUGCCGCGUGGACGAUGAAGGCCUUAGGGUUGUAAAGUCCUUUCAGCUGGGAAGAUAAUGACGGUACCAGCAGAAGAAGCCCCGGCUAACUCCGUGCCAGCAGCCGCGGUAAU